rnacentral:rRNA from 1 species
CCCAGACUCCUACGGGAGGCAGCAGUGGGGAAUAUUGCACAAUGGGGGAAACCCUGAUGCAGCGACGCCGCGUGAAGGAAGAAGUAUUUCGGUAUGUAAACUUCUAUCAGCAGGGAAGAAAAUGGCGGUACCUGACUAAGAAGCCCCGGCUAACUACGUGCCAGCAGCCGCGGUAAUACGUAGGGGGCAAGCGUUAUCCGGAUUUACUGGGUGUAAAGGGAGCGUAGGCGGUUUAGCAAGUCAGAAGUGAAAGCCCGGGGCUUAACUCCGGGACUGCUUUUGAAACUGUUGAACUAGAUUGCAGGAGAGGUAAGUGGAAUUCCUAGUGUAGCGGUGAAAUGCGUAGAGAUAUGGAGGAACACCAGUGGCGAAGGCGGCUUCCUGGUCUGCAACUGACACUGAGGCGCGAAAGCGUGGGGAGCAAACAGGAUUAGAUACCCCCGUA